GCGAUGAGCUAAUUGCAUAAGACGACUGACAAGCCUAACUGGCAAUGCACUAUGUGGAGUGCAGUCGGGUCGCCGCAAUACGUAUAAAAAGACGCCUCUCUGGGGCGUCUU
rnacentral:sRNA from 1 species